CGUGAUGGUCAUUUAAUCCUGUAGACACGGAAUCCAGGUCUGAGUCGGACAUGUUGUAAAAUUUAUCUUGAAAUGGUUUAAAACCUUUCAAAUCUGCAGAUGGACGAAAUCAUCGAUGCAUGCAACUUCAUAACGUAUCAUUAAAAAGAAAAGCUGAUUAAAAAAAAAAAGAUUCUGCAUGAAAAUGAAGUGACUUUAAAAACUAUCAGAAAGGAAACAAAACAAAAUGAUAAUUUGUACAGAAAUCUUAAAGAGAAGCAGAUGUUCCUUCAGAACUGAAGACUAUUACAUCUUAGCCCAAACCACACACAUGGCUGGAGAUGGUGACAGGAAGGGUUAGAAGCUGGGAACAUCAAGAUGACCUUCCAGUGCCCUUACCACCUGACCAGGGAGCUAUCUAUAUAUAUGCUUGUACAUUUUUAUCAAUACAUGCACACUUUUACUUCGCAAAAUUGCAAUAGCUGAAUUUGACUGACCCUAUCGCUAGUUGGCCUGAACAUUAAUUUAAAUAAGCAAGGCAAAAUUAAGCAACAUAGCAACAAAAUUAAAUAGAUAGGGAGUUCCAAAAUAGUUUUAUUUUUUCCUAUGUUUGGCAUUAAGGAACACAAAAAAUGCAUCUGUACAAACUAGCACAUAAAUGCAAGUAAUCCAGACUUAAAAAAUAAUUUUCUACAUAGACUCUACUUUAUAUUCAAUAGAUCAAUACUGUAAUAUUGUAUGUAUUUUUAUAGUCUAGACCUAUCAUCUAUUCUAUAUAUAUAUUAUUUUAUUUACAUAUAAAUUAUAUUUAUUCUAGAUUUUAAAAUACUUAAUAGUAAUAGACUAUUAAAAUUAUUAUGUCUACAAUCUACACCAAUUACAGUGUUUUCAUUACUAAAAUUUAAAUCUUAUACUUAGUAGUAUAGACAUAGUGAUAGUCUUUUAUAGAUAUAUAGCAGAGAAGCUCUUAAUUCAAAUUCAGAGUUGGCACAGUCAGAGUGUCAAUCAAAUAAAAGACAAGGCAUGAUGUAGGACAAUCCUCACCUCAGC